GUACCUUUCUCAGCUUUUUGGCUAAGAUCAAGUGUAGUAUCUGUUCUUAUCAGUUUAAUAUCUGAUAUGUGAGCCAUGUGCCUAUAACGAUAUUAAAUUUAUUUUUUAUGAGGGAGGGUCCACCACACUAGCUUGCUAGUGGGCGUUGCCUGGGCGUUGCACUAUUGUCCAGGCCAGACGCACCCCAA
rfam:Triticum urartu cultivar G1812 contig953116, whole genome shotgun sequence.